AGUGAACGCUGGCGGUAGGCCUAACACAUGCAAGUCGAACGGCAGCACAGUAAGAGCUUGCUCUUACGGGUGGCGAGUGGCGGACGGGUGAGGCAUACAUCGGAAUCUACUUUUUCGUGGGGGAUAACGUAGGGAAACUUACGCUAAUACCGCAUACGACCUACGGGUGAAAGCAGGGGAUCUUCGGACCUUUCGCGAUUGAAUGAGCCGAUGUCGGAUUAGCUAGUUGGCGGGGUAAAGGCCCACCAAGGCGACGAUCCGUAGCUGGUCUGAGAGGAUGAUCAGCCACACUGGAACUGAGACACGGUCCAGACUCCUACGGGAGGCAGCAGUGGGGAAUAUUGGACAAUGGGCGCAAGCCUGAUCCAGCCAUACCGCGUGGGUGAAGAAGGCCUUCGGGUUGUAAAGCCCUUUUGUUGGGAAAGAAAAGCAGCAGGUUAAUCCACCGCUGUUCUGACGGUACCCAAAGAAUAAGCACCGGCUAACUUCGUG
rnacentral:rRNA from 1 species